AUGUUUGGCCUGAAGGCAGGUGCUUUUAUCAUCGGUCUUAUGCUCACAAAUACAACUACUACGUUCUCGAACAUGGUUGGACCAACAGAGCAAGUAGAGUUCUAUGGACACCCAUCUGUCUUCAUUGCACCUACCAUCUAUGGUAUUCCACAAGCUUUAAUUGUACACUAUCAGAGUUACAAUGGCACUAUUAAGGUAAUUCUGUCAGUCGAUGAGGAAAUAAUUCCAAAUUAUACUCAACUUCUGGAUGACUUUGUCGAGUCUUUCAGGCACAUUAAGGAUGCGGCUUCAAGGCUUUCAAAACAUGUCAAGAAGGGAUAA
rnacentral:rRNA from 1 species